rnacentral:rRNA from 1 species
AGGACGAACGCUGGCGGCAUGCCUAAUACAUGCAAGUCGAGCGAAUCUUUAAAGGAGCUUGCUUCUUUAAAGGUUAGCGGCGGAUGGGUGAGUAACACGUGGGCAACCUGCCCUACAGAUGGGGAUAACUCCGGGAAACCGGGGCUAAUACCGAAUAAACAGUUUGUCCGCAUGGACAAACUCUGAAAGACGGUUUCGGCUGUCACUGUAGGAUGGGCCCGCGGCGCAUUAGCUAGUUGGUGGGAUAACGGCCUACCAAGGCGACGAUGCGUA